GGACCCGGAAGUGCCUCUGCACGCAUGGCCGCUCUGCCCCACGGUGCUCAGGUGGGAGUGAGCGCCUUGUCCGCUCCUGCCCAGAGCCAGCGCAGGCCCUGAGGAGCCGUCCUGGACGCUGCUGGCCGAGCCUGAGGGAGACCCAGCGCCCCGGGUCAGGCCGGGGCCAUGUAGGCUGCAGCUGAGGCGGCCAUUACCCUCAGGACUCCAUGCCUGCCCUGAGGAACAGCGAGGUCCUCUCUGGGGGAGCUGGGCGCGGGGUGUGGUCAGCUGAGGAGGCCUUGCUGUCACCGGGUACAGGAGGAUACUUCAGAACGUCACAGGGAACUGAAGUGGAAAGCUUAUUGUGGAGCAGAAGUUCGUGUCAAGAGGCAGCAGAAAUGUCCUCCCCAGGCUGAGGAGAGGAGGAUGUGGAGUGACCCCGUGGGAACGUGUGCCUGGGACAGAGCUCCACCGGGCAAAGCAGGGAGUGUGAGCUGGAGAUCUGCCAUCCAGUGACUCUUUUCUCAAAUGGCUGCCGUUGCCAGCACUGGCCCAGACAGAAGCCAGGAGCCAGGGACUCCAUCUAGGUCUCCCAUGAGUGUGGCUGUGGUCCAAGUACUUGGGCCAUCACCUGCUUCCUGCAUGGUUCACCAGUGUGGAGCAUUGGGACCGGAAGUGUCGCUGCUCCACCACAGCUGGAGCAAGCUGAAGCCAAUAGUGGGAGCCAGAAGAGAAUCCAGGUGUCCUCCAAAGUAGCAGGAACUCAGUCAUUUGAGCCAUCACCAGUGCCCCCCAGGGCCUGCAUGAACAGGAACCGGAAGUCAGGAGCCUGAGUCGGUGUCAGACCCUGUGCUGCAGUCUGGGAUGCAGGCAUCCGAACUGGCACGGGAACCCCAGAAGACAGUGUCAUCUCUGCACUUCAUCUUUCUGGAGACGUGGCUGUCAGGCACUUCUAUGACCUCCGUGUUCCAGGUCAGUGUCAAUGUGGAUGCCUAGAGGAAAACCGCAUUGAGGACCAGAAGCCGAUUCCCCUGAGGGACCGGGUGGUCACCUGCCUGCCCCUCCUCCAUUGGGCACCUCUGACAGCUUGGCUGCCAGAAGUGGCCGUGUGUGAGCUUCCAGGGCAUGUCCCUCAUGGGGCGGAUUCUCUCCCAGGGAAUGUGUGUGCAGCCUCUGUGUUUGAGAUCGUUUUCACCAAGGACUUUGUACCUAGCCACGUGUGGUGGUUCUUCCAGCAGCCGGCUGCUUCCCAUUAGUGCUCCAUGGAAGCCACCGGGCCCAGCUGCUCUCAGGUCCAUGGUCGGCUGCUACCUCUGCCUGAGCCUCGGGCUCUGGGCUGAAGCAGCGUGCGAAGUGGAAAAUCUCGUGGACUUGUUUCUCUGAUCCAGCAUAGAGAUCUUUUAAGGUCCUACAAAGGAACUGUAAAGCUGUGGAUUCCUGCGUGGAUUCCUGCGGACCUCCUUCUAAGGGGUGGAAUACAGAGUACUGAGUGGUUAAAGGCCUCAGGGAUACGGAGAAGACGGCCGUUUCAAUGCAUCUUGCUGUGUUGCUAAACUUUGCGUAUGGGACAGUUUCUUCUGUAUCCCACUCAACUCGAAGUCUGGGCUAGUGAGGAUCCAGAACUUCCCAAAUCUCAGGGAUCUAAACUGGAGGUAGAUUCCCCAGCAUGUGAUCUGACUGCAAAAAGCUGUGCUCUCUCAGUCAAAGAGGGGAAGCUAUGUUACAUAUGUUUGACCUUCGCAGACUCACAAAACAGCUGAGAAUAUUUCUGGGAAUGGCAAGAUUCUGUAGAGUACGGAUCCCGUGAUGUGGACUCCACGCUUCUGUAGAUGGCUUUAAAAGGCCCUGAGGCAGACACACUGUGCUGGACGGGGAGCUGCAAAAGGAGUUCCAAGGAACGAAGGCACUGCUAACAAAAUUCCAACAUUAGGAAUUCCUGAGGAGGGCAUUCAUGGAAAGAUCCUCUUCAGAUCAGUUAUAGCUUACAUGGAAGGGACUACCAGGCGCUACUGAGCACACCCACCCCAGUGAGGUUAGGAUGAAACUUCUACCUCUUAAGUCUUCUCAGGUGAAUUCCAAAAGACACACCUGAUUAUUCCUGUAAGCCAAGUAGAGGCCUUCAGCAAAGAGAGUAAAGCUUUGACAUUCCUCACAUCAAGAGUGCUGCUGUCCCUUCAGACACCUGUGCCUGCCUCUCUCAAUUCUCUCUGGGAGCUGCUACUGACAUGCAAGUCCUCAUGUGUUUUUCUAUUGUAAUCCUCUACGCUCAAGUGAAAUGAGUUUAUAAUCUGUCACCACCCACUAUGUGGGAGUCUGUACGGUACAUUCUUUCCAUCUUACGGGGCACUGGGCUCACAAUUGGUCUUGUUCCACUUCUGUUAUGCUACUUAACAAACUUAUCUGUUUCAGAACUUAACUUCUGGGAGUAGCUGACCAUGCAGGGGACACAGACAUUGGCAGGGACGGAGACCGCUCCAGCUCACAAAGCAAACUUGUUGGAUGAGCUAGGCAGAGACUCCCAGCCCCAGCAAGGCAGGGCCUGCACUACGCCCCUCAUAAGCAGGAAGCAGCUAUAGAAGAUGUGAUGAUUCUACAGCCUUCAGCAUCCCUUAGGAUUAAGGGACUGGAGUCUCUGAAGGGGCUGUGAUGUAGGCGGGCAUAUAGGAUUAGGUUUGUGAGCUGGAAGACCACGCCCUCAUGCCCCUACCUGACCACAUCUGUACACCCACCUGCCAGUCAGACUAAGCUCUCCUCUUUGGAAGUGGAUUAAAGGCCUGGGGCCUGAUGGGCCUGGCUGAGUGAAAGGCUAUACUACUGGCAGAGAUUUUGUCCAUACAGACAGGGUGAUGUGGGUGAUUCUGCCCCUAGCUGGGGGAUUGCCUGCCCAGCCCAUGCAGGAGAUGAGCCUGACUGCUGGCAGGCAGCAGAAGCCACAGGCACAUUUCCCCCACCCUGCUGCCUGUUAGAGGGCCCUGUAAUUGCCUAUCAGGGAAAUACUUCCGGGUGUGGCCCAGGCCCAUCGGGAAGGCUCCAGUCUAUGUGACCUUCAAGCUGAUGGAGGAGCCUAGCAGGGCCAAUAUUGGCUCUAUCCUAUAGACUUAGUGUUGCCCUGAAUUAGCUACGCCCCUUCUGUCUGCCCUUUAAGAGGUGUGCCUGAUCAUUAAUAAAAUGGAUAUGUUCACUGAAACUUGUCUCCAGUGCUUCUUGUAAAGAAGGCCGUCGCCCCAUAUCCCACAAAGCCCGGGCCUCACAGGAUGAUCCCACAACCAUCUCAGCCCAGGGCACUGAGACGGAAAGGGAGGGGCUGGUGGAAAGGAAGGGGCCCUUGGUGCCAGUGGGGGCACUAGGCCUUCAGGGGUCCACCAUCUGGGUGUGUGGCAGCACCCCCACAUCGGUUGGGGGUUGCUGUCUUGAGCAGGGCCAGGCUGCCCAGGGCUGAGGGAGCUGUGUCCCCACACCAGCUCUCCCCAAGAAGUCACCCUGGAACUGAACGAGUCCGGUGGCCUUCCUGAGAGAUGCUCAGUGCUGUGAGUGCACCUGGGGCUCCAGGUACCUGGGACCACCACAACCCCCACGUCCCCCUGCCUAUCCUCUUCCCUGUGCACUGGCUGCCUUAGGUGCCAUGAGGCCUCUCUCCCUGACAUCUGUGGGUACAGCCUCCACGUGUGACUCCUGCCCAUAGGCCCCACUCCUCCCAGCACAGACCCGGGAGCAGGGCCCUCAGCUGCAGCAACCCCGCUCCCAUGGUGGGGUCUGUACUUUGCAUGCCCACAGGCAGGUCCAGAGCCCUAGAUGCCACACCCAUGGCCUUCCCUCAGGCUAGGUCUUAGUAAGCAUCAGGCCUGGCCCCAGAGACCCAGGCACCUGCUGGACAACUGCCCCCCUGCUCGGCUGGUGCCUAGAUCCUAUGGACACAGCUCAAGUGCUGUUCAUGCAAACGUGAACCUGUACAGUGGAGCCCUCAGGAACUGCUGCCCAGAGGUCUGUCCCCCGAUCAGAACGGGGACAGCCCCACAUCCAGGUGGGUGGGCACCUGGUGGCCGGGUCCCAGGAGUAUGACUUGUCAAGAGCACAGGGACUAGGGACAGUUGGGCAGGGAUAGCCCCUGGCUGCCUCCCCUGCCCUCGGCAAGGAAGCUCCUCCCUGAGCCUGGCAUCCAUGUGUCCAAGGAGCACCACAGCCCAAGCCAAGGACUCUCCAUGUACUACUUCCCCUUCCACAACUCUGGGGCUCCCCAUAGACAGCUCUCACUUCAUGUGCUGAUGCCCAGGAUGGCCUCAGUUCCAGGGCAGGGGUGCGGCCUGAAGUCUCUGCACACUGGGCAGAGCCGGCACAGGGUAAGGUCGGAAUCAAUAAGCAGCCGGAAACUCUGCCACUCCCAACAGUCUGGGGACACUGAGGUCAACACACAGGUGUCCCCACACCAUGAGUUCCACAAGUAUCAUGGGCAUGUGAUGAGAUAGCAGGGUCAGAAGGGUGGCUGGGCUCUCAGCAAGGACCUCCGACACCCAGGCCUCCUGACUGGGUGUCAGGACAGUGGGUGUGCACUGCUCACCCAUUUUGGGGAGCAGGGGCCCCUAUGUUCUGUCGGAAGAAGACGUGGCCACCUGGAUACCGCUUGGAUGCCCUGAGCCUGGCCAGCCAUUGAGGGACUUGGGACAGCGGCAUCCAGUCAGAGCUGGGCUCCUCUGUCCCUAUCUACCUUUCCCUCCUUGGACACCUGCUCCUCAUAUCGACAGCCCUUCCUAUCUGCUGGAGGUGUCCUGGAGGCCCUGGGAUGCACAGGGCCAUCACAGCCUCAUGCCAGGGCCUGGGGACUCUGUCCCCCCUGGUGCCCAUGCUGCUGGCCCUGGGCCAGGACGUCUGGGACCCUCUCCUGUGGUCUCUGCUGGCACAGAAAUGCCCAGGGGUCCUCCUCAUGACCUGGCCAUUCUGCGCAGUGGUCUGCUCUGGUAGUGCCACAGUCUCAGCUGCUGGCACAUUCAGCACCUGGGGCCGCCAUUUAGCUGCCCGUACCCAGGACCAGCUGCUGAGGCCAAACCAUCUGUGGGGCUCCAGUUUCAUCUCCUGCUUUGGGACCAAGACCUCCUCCUCCAUCAGGUCUUCCCUGAGCCUUCUGGUCAAGUGAUGGUGACCAGCAAGCUCUGGAGUCAGGUGUUUGGGGAGGGCAAUCCUAUGUCUGUAUGUGCAUAUUUCUGUACUCACGUGUGAAUACAUGUGUAUAUUCAUGUAUAUACCUGUACAUAUGUGUGAAUAUAUAUACCUAUUUAUUUAUUAUUCCUAGCAAAUAAGUUUCUAUACCAACUUUCCUGGAAUACAUUUUUAAAAAUACAAUAUGUAACUGUUUAAUAUACAUUACAAAAUCCUUAAGUUUAGAAAUUUCCAACUGUCUAAAUAUCCAAAGACUCCCACCUUCCAGUAUAACCAUGAAUCAGUUAAUCAGCAAAAUUAAAAUUAACCUGUAUUCUGACAUUGAGAAAUGACAUAAAAAUACCAACAAUAUAACGUCCGCAUAGAAAAUGUCAACAGUGAAUCCUGAUUGCUACCUUUAUGUAUUUUGUCUUGUUUGUGGGACACAGGAUUUGUCCUUUUUAAAACAUGAACCCUAUGUUAAAUGCAGGGCUAGGCUAUGGAGGGCAGACCUGUGUUCAGUUGAGAACUUUGUAGAGCACGGGUAUGUCUAGUCCUUGUGUAAGUGGGUACAUAAGUGUCUGAAUAAAUAGAUGACAAAGAUUACUUCAUGUGUAAGUCAAAAAUAAUCCCACACAGCACGUUUGUAAGGAAGAAGAGAAUGAACGGGUACCAAAAUGUUUUUAAAGACUGAGUUAAAUUCUUUUUAAAAGUCUGUGUUAAUAGUGUGCUAUGUAUAUUAUAUAUGUAUAUAGUAUCCAAUUUUAAAUACACUCUAGUAGUUGGCCUUGAUGUUGUAUUUAAUUUAUAGCUAUGUCUUCCUUUGUUAUUUUUUACUUUUAUUAAAAAGGAUUUAAUUAUUUAUUUAAAAAUCAGAGUUACACACAGGGAGGCAGAGAAGCAGAGAGAGAGAGAGGUCUUCCAUCUGCUGGCCCACUCCCCAAUAGGCCGCAGCAGCCGGAGUUUAGCAGAUCCGAAGCCAGGAGCCAGGAGCCUCCCCGGGCCUCCUGAGUGGGUGCAGGGCCCAAGGACUUGGGC